GGACUGGUCAGAAGAAGGAUCACCUGCUUCUGGACUGACCAGGAGUAACUGAAACAGUGGAAGGUGAAACCUCAGAUAAGGGGACUACUGUACUGUCAAGCAGGCUGAAGAGGUUCUCACAGCUUUUACUGCUUUAAAAGGUAAACACUUGGGAGUGGAAUGGCUGGAUCAUAUGGUAGAUGCCGUAAUCAAAAUCAGAAGAACUCACAUCUGUUCAAGUCUCUUCAUGCUUAAACAGUCACUGCCUCCAAGAUCGAGUCCACGCUCCUUGGCUUCACAUGAAUCCUUUUUCAAUUUGUCCCCACCUGCUUUUCCAGACUUUCUCCAUUUGCUUCUUUGUAAUGCUUUUGAAAACAACUAAAUCCAUCUGUUUCAGAAAUGUCCUCCCUUCUUACCCCAGGUCUGGCUGUUCUUCUCAUUCUCACUCCACCAAACACCUAAUUAUGAGAACAUGAAUUAUUUGCAGAAUUUGCACAUGGCAUUUUAUGGACUCUGAUUUUGGAAGAAACAAGAAUUGUUACAUCCCAGUUUUUUUCCUCCAAUCCCAAGUUGAUGUUAAAUCCUAACUUAUGAUACUACUCAUAGUCACCAUUACUUGACCAUUUACAACGUGCUAAAUGCUUUUACUAAGUAGUAGGGGCAAUCAAAUUGCUCACAAAAUUCACAGGUACCAAAAAAUAAAAGGUGUAUGUUUUGCCUAUGAUUUGCCUGAUCUUUUCAUAAACUUAUCUAUUGGGUAAUGACAAAAAAAAUAAAUAAAUACAAAUUAAAUUCUAUUAAAUUUAAACUCAAUCUUACCUAAUAAUUCAAACCCUGUGUUUAGGUACUAUUCAGUCUUUGAUGGUAAUUACCAAUUUCUCUGUCUUUGCCCCCUUCUCCCUUAAACAUGACAUCAAUUAGGCCUACUCACUUGGAUAUCUCACAUGCAACCCAAAUUCAACAUGUCCAAGGCCAUCUGCUUACUCAGGAUGAAGGAUGUCCCCCUUCAUCCACCACCCUGUCGUUUCCCCUAUGUUAAAGUUUACCCAAACCAAAAAUCUGAGGGUCUUCUCUAUCAUUUUUCAAAAGCAAACAAUUUGAAAAAUCCUGUUUUCAUUUUCCGAAAAUUUCUAUUCUUUAUUUCCUCUUUCCCCUCUAUCACCUCUACUUUGCCCUAGAUUCCUACUUAAGAGUCACCACCUGGCUAGCGAAAGAGCCUGCUUCUAGUCCUGCCACCUUCAAAUACACCCUCCAUGCUGCACCUUGGUUGCUCUAUUUAAAAUGCAAAUCUAACUGUACCACUAGUUUGCUUAAAACCCUUACUGACAAUGAAGUAAAGCCAAGAUUCUUAGCUUGGCAUAGAAUGUGACAUGAUUACCAUCUUUUCAGUCACAUUUCCUACUUUUCCCUAUCUCCCAAUUAAUGCUCUCAUAACAUGGAAAUGCCUGUAAUGUCGCCUCACCACCAUGCUUUUUUAUAUCCUUUUGCCUUUGGCCGUGGUGUUCCCUUUUGCUAGAGUUUCUUUUUCAUCUGUGUUUAUCUGGUUAAAUCUUACUCAUUUUUGAGUACUUAACAUCUAUGACAUUAUCCUACUUUGUGCGUGAAUUUCCCCUAAGACUUAUCAAGACUCUUCAGGACUGGAUUUGUGCCUGGGUAGAAAACCGUAUUUAUUAAUGAAAGUGACCUUCCAACUCUAAAAUGUUAAACUGUGUAAUUUCCCUUUGUGGUCAUACCCAUCCCAAUUCUCUCAAGCCUGGUUCCUCCUCUCUUUCAAAAUUCUAUUAAGACCUUGCCAAUUGAGAAAAAAAGGAAAAAUGAAUUCAAAGAAAACAUUUCUAUCAGUUAUCUGGAUUCUGAUAACUCAAGUAUUAGGUGCCAAAUUUAGAUAAGCAUCUACUUAAACAAGAUCCAUUUCCUUCAUGAAACUUCCUUGAGGGAGAUUUGGCUGAUUUUCAUCACUCUGCCAAUUCCAAAAUUUCCCCUUCUUUCUUCCAAAACAUUUUUAUAUACAAGUAAAAUUGGCUGAAUAUACGGACUCAUAGAAGGUUGGGCUUACAAAAGACAUUGCAUCUAACUAACUUAAACCUCUUCUUUUUACAGACAAGGAAAUGAGGCCCAAAGAUUUUCUGGACACAUUGCUUAUGAGUUUAUAUGUUUCUGUUACAAGUGUGUAGGUGUGUAUAACCAUGCUCCCAUAAACAUUUACACACACAUCCACACCACAUAGUGUGUGAAUAUAUCCCUGUCCUAUCCCAGGUUUUAGAAGGAUGGACAUCACAGC
ensembl:lncRNA